UACCUUUUUAAGCAUGAUCCAUUAUACAAAUUUGACGCCACUUAUGUGUACGUGAGGGCCCGUUGUCCCUAGCGGACAUCCACAGAGCUUUUUCUGCGCUCGUCCUCUCUCUCACCCUCCACGAAGACUGACGGGGCCCGCCACCCGGCAACUAAUAAUAAAAGAAGCGCUCACCGUACGCGCAGUAGAAUUAUCGUCACCCUUGUGCUCCCUUUUACCUGAAAGAGGAAAUGAGCAACGCGUUGAUGCGAGGAGUAAAAGCCGAUGAGGACGAAGAAGAGAGGUGCGCCGAGCCGGAUGUGUUGUUGUGAGGUUUGGGGAAGGUGCGAAUUCCCCGACUAAACAACAUUCAUCACUGCGGCCCAGCGGCAAGCUUCCAUCGUUUACAAUCCAUUAAUACGAAUUUAAAUCAAUCCCUCCCCCCACGGAAACAAUAAGAAGCGGCGCUGGCCAUGUGAGCCCUGCUGCCCUCUUCUGCAGCGACCUGAGACACCAGCGUAGGACAAGGUCGCAGGAUGACUUCCCCGAUUCUCGCUUGUUGGCCGUAGUGUGGAGCGGGAGUUGUGCUGAUGGACAGAGUUGUAAGACAUUAGGUCAAUGGACUUGUCGAUGCAUAGGUAUAUCUCAUUCUGUGGACGCACGCCCAUUUUGGGCCUCCUCCGAUUAAGAUACCUCAUUAACCGACGCAGGCUCCUGAGUUUGGGUGCUUCGCGCUGCUUGUAUUCAAGCAAUGUCAAAUUUUGGUCAAAUAUUAUUUACAUUAAGACUGUACUAUACUUUCCUACAACAUUUCCUACGCAAUACUAACAGAUUUUGACUAACCCUUCAAAAUGACAAGUAUUUUUACCAGUUUUUUAUUUGAUAGAUUACUUUCUGCUUGAAUGACAUUGACUUGUAUUGCCG
rnacentral:sRNA from 1 species